rnacentral:rRNA from 1 species
GAUGAACGCUGGCGGCGUGCCUAAUACAUGCAAGUCGAGCGAACGGACGAGAAGCUUGCUUCUCUGAUGUUAGCGGCGGACGGGUGAGUAACACGUGGAUAACCUACCUAUAAGACUGGGAUAACUUCGGGAAACCGUAGCUAAUACCGGAUAAUAUUUUGAACCGCAUGGUUCGAAAGUGAAAGACGGUCUUGCUGUCACUUAUAGCUGGAUCCGCGCUGCAUUAGCUAGUUGGUACGUUAACGGCUUACCAAGGCAACGAUGCCUAGCCGACCUGAGGGGGUGAUCGCCCACACUGGAACGUAGACACGGUCCAGGCUCCUACGGGAGGCAGCAGUAGGGAAUCUGCCGCAAUGGGCGAAAGCCUGACGGAGCAACGCCGCGUGAGUGAUGAAGGUCUUCGGAUCGUAAAACUCUGUUAUUAGGGAAGAACAUAUGUGUAAGUAACUGUGCACAUCUUGACGGUAACUAAUCAGAAAGCCACGGCUAACUACGUG